CUGCUGAGCUUCACAUUUGGAGUUUUAUAUCCAUGGAGGAAAGAAAAAAACCCAGAGCUUCUCUCACUUAGCACCCUUUGGGACAGCAGCUGUAGAUGAAGAGCAAGCAAUCAACAUGUCAGGAUAAAAUUAGAUUGCCACGGAGUACAAGGUCUCUGGUUACCAGUAGCUGUCUCCUGAAGGGAGCCAUGAGGAUGUCUGAGGCCUGGCUGGGGUUCCUGUGGGGGUACUGAGCCAAGGAGGUGUUUAACCCUCGGGCAUCGCAAUUUGUGCCGCGUGGAAUCUUCAGCUGUUGGAACGUCCUGGUAAGGGCAGAGUCACUGAUUUGAACUCACUGGGGGUAAAAUCCAUUUUCUCUUGGGCAUAAAAA
rnacentral:lncRNA from 1 species